rnacentral:rRNA from 1 species
AAUCAGAUUUUGAUCAUGGCUCAAAGUGAACGCUGGCGGCGUGCUUAACACAUGCAAGUCAAACGAGAACGGGUUAUAGCUUGCUAUAAUUGUCAGCUAAGUGGCGCACGGGUGAGUAAUGUAUAGGUAAUAUGCCUCUUACUAAGGGAUAACAAUUGGAAACGAUUGCUAAUACCUUAUACUCCUUAUUAACUAAAGUUGGUAAGGAAAAGAUUUAUUGGUAAGAGAUUAGCCUGUAUUGUAUCAGUUAGUUGGGGGGGUAAUGGCCUACCAAGACUAUGACGCAUAACAGGUUUGAGAGGAUGAUCAGUCACACUGGAACUGAGACACGGUCCAAACUCCUACGGGAGGCAGCAGUGGGAAAUAUUGCACAAUGGACAAAAGUCUGAUGCACCACCGCCGCGUGAAGGAUGACACAUUUCGGUGCGUAAACUCCUUUUAUAUAAGAAGAUAAUGACGGUAUUAUAUGAAUAACCACCGGCUAACUC